CACCUGCCUGGAGCCGAGGCCAGAGCCGCCUGGGGGGUGGCUGGGAGGUGGGGGACUUGUCGGGGUUUUACCCCAGAGCUUUGGGCGUGGCAACCAAUCGAAUUCUGAAGCCUAGUAGUACUCCAAGACUUUUGCAGAUGGAGACAAAAGUUACCCAGCUAGUUUUGGUGACACUGGGACAUUGUCUUCAGAUUCCCAGGCUACCACCAUAAAGAAACCCUGUAUCCAUUCAGUCUACCUGGUGGAUGUGCGUUAUCAGUAGGAAGUGUUUAUUUUUAUCAGAAUGCUGUCAACUGCUCCAAGCAGGGCAGAAGAAAAUGAAGAUAAGCAGGGAGAGAUGCCACAAGCCUAGCCAAAGCUGCAAUCAUUUACCAGCGACCCACACCAAUGUCUUAUUCAGUGGACCAUGCAUCUGUUCAGCAGUCAUUGAGUGCUCACUACACACCAGGCACUGUGCUAGGGAUUGGAUAAAUAAAGGAAAACAAAACUGACAUCAUCUUUAACCUCGUGGUAUUCAGAGGCUAUUGAGGCACAGAGACAUUUAGUGAGUAAUGGGCAAUAAGGAAAUGCAUAAUUUUAAUGAAUGCUAUAAGGGACAAAAGAGAAAGUGGGAAGUGGGAGUAGCAUGACUCCCUCUCAGAGAAGAAAGAGAAGUAGAGGGGAGAGGAAUGGAGUAGGGGAGGAAAGAGAAAAGAAAAACAAGGAGCUGGUUGUGGUGGCCUAUGCCUGUAAUCCCAGUACUCUGGGAAGCUGAAGCAGGAGGACUGCAAGUUUGAGCCCAGCCUGAGCAACUAAGUGACUUAGCAAGAACCUGUCUCAAAAGUAAAAAUUAAAAAAGACUGGAGAUGUAGCUCAAUACAAAGGGCCUAAGAAUUAAAAUCCCAAAACUUCCCCCUCCCAAAAAAGGAGGAAAGAGACAGACAAAAGAAAAUGGGCUUGAAAUGGAAAAUUUCUCCAAAGAGAUGAUAUGAAAGCUGAGGCUGAAGGAUAGAAAGAAUCCAGCCAUGCAGCAUGGAGAAAGACCUUAACAGGCCAAGGGAACAGCUGUGUCAAAGCCUGCUUAUUAGAACUGUGAUUACAGUUGAACUGUUUAACCUCUCUGUGCCUCCGUUCCCCCUUGAGAAAAGAAAGAUAAAAGUAGUGAAGCUUUUAGAUAAAGCCCACCACCAAUAAAAACUAAGUACAGUAUAAGGAAGUUGUUGUUUUCACUUCAAGUUGGAUUUAAGAAAGAGAAAAGGUCAUAGUUGACUUCAAAGCCAUGAUGUGAAAGGAAGCCAGGGUGUCAGGUUGGGGGCUGGAGGAAAGCCAGGAUGGCCAUGGACCGGAAGAGAUCAGAAAGGCAGGAGGUGACCUGUAAGCUCCGGAACUCAUCUGGAUUUGAUUCUAGGAGAGGGAGAGUUUUUCAUUUUUAAAAUGCCACUCUAAGGGCCGCGCCUGCCUGGCAAGCACAAAGUCCUGAGUUCGAUCCCCGUAUCAAAAAAAAAAAAAAAGAAAAAGAAAAAGAAAAUGCCAUUCUAGCAACUGAGAAGAGACAAGAGAGGAAACAGAAGAUAAGUGUGUUCCAGGCAUGUAAUAAUGAUGUGUGAUGUAGGCCAGGAGAGAAUGGAGAAGAUAAAAUAGAUGGAUGGAU